rnacentral:lncRNA from 1 species
GCCAAAACUUUCCGCAUCAAUAUGCGUUUUGACCCUUUCUAUGUCGAUCUAGAUCGAAAUUUUUUUUUGCGAAUUGCCUGAAAUUUUCUAAGUGUGACUCUGGUUUAUAAAGGCAGCCCUUGUCUUGCGAUAGGAACUUCUAGUUUAUAGUUGAUUCGAUCAAGAAUCCGGGUAGCGGGUUAGCGUAGUAGAAAGUAUAAUAAAGGACGGGUUAGCAUUUCUUAUAUCAAAAUGCGCUUUGAAAUCCCCCUCUUCCAAAACUUUCUGCACCAAUAGGCAGUUCUGAACCAUCCUAAGUCGAUUUAUAUAAAAAAAAGUUUGUAAGUCAAACUUUGGUCGAAAUAUUCCAAGAGAAACUCAGCCUAGUUGACUCAAGGAUCCGGAUAGCGAGUUAGCGUAGUACAAAUUAUAAUGAAGUACGGACUAGCAUUUCUUAUAUCAAAAUGCGCUUUGAAAUUCCCCUGUUCCAAAACUUUCUGCACCAAUAGGCA